UGAAACACUCGAUCUCCUUCCCUCAUAAAGCCAAAUCCGAUCACAUAUCUAUAUAAUAGAGAUAUAUACAUGUUCAGAUUCCUUAAAAAGCUAGAGUUUUAUUCGAGAUUUGGUAGAUUGUAUAAUCGCCAGAUGUCUUCUUCCGAAAUUAGGGAACAGAAGAACCAACCGCCAUCUCUGAUCUCAUCUCUCCCCGAAGAAAUCUUCAUCGACAUCGUAGCGCCGUGCCUCUCGAUCCUAUUACCCGAAUCUCUCCCAAGCCUCCAUGUGUUUCCGAUCACUCAUGGAGAAGAAAGGGAGAAGACACUCUCUGACAUCGCCAAAGCAUGCAAAGAAUGGGGUUUCUUUCAGCUGGUGAGCCAUGGGACUCCACUGGACCUUCUGAACAAAGUUAAGGAGCUGAGCUCAGACUGCUACAAAUACAGAGAGAGAAGAAGCGUCCAAGACUUCAACACCCGUGAAGCUGCUCAACGAACUGCUUGAGAAAAACUCUGGAGAGAAGCUCGAAAGCGUUGACUGGGAAGAUGUUUUCACUCUCCUAGACCAUAACCAAAACGAGUGGCCAUCCAACACUUCUGGCCUCAAAGAGACGAUGUUGGAAUACAUAGGAGAAGUGAUGAAGCUAGCGAGGAAGAUGAUGGAAGUGAUGGAUUAGAAUCUGGGUUUGCCUAAAGGUUACAUAAAGAAAGCUUUAAACGAAGGGAUGGAAGAUGGUGAAGAGAAGGCUUUCUUUGGAAAAGUUAAAUGUGACAAUACAUUAACUAUGGAAGGCGUUUCCAGUGGGGUCUUUGGUUGUCCUUUUGUACCUCAUACUACUUCUGGUUUCAGAUUUUAACUCUGCAGGCAUCAAAUUUGACAUCUGAAGAUCUGUCUUUAACGGUUCUUGCUCCAACAUCCUUCACAUCACCUAUAAGCCCAUUCCUAAGAUUCUUUGAGUUCACAGAGAGGGUACAAACCGAAAACGCAAUACAACAACGUAUAAGUUCCAGUCGUUACUCUCAAUUCCACUAGAGCUUUUGUUUAAAGCAUCGAACUUGAAGGUUGGAUUUUGUGGUUACUAUUCUUAGAGGUUCACACAGUAGUCUAGAGGAGAUUUAGUGCCGUAAGAACUGCUAGACAGACUGUGGAGCGGUUCUUGCUGUUGGCGCAGCUUUAAGAUCUGAAGCAUUGAAGGAAGAAGUAUUAGCAACGAGUCUUCUAGAAGACAAUCCCUUGGCGGAGCUGAUAUUAUACUCAAACUGAAUGGCUUCUUCACCACUUACUAUCCUUCGGAGGCCACUAGAGCUACUUUUUAGUAGCGACAAGAAUCUAUAUCCUACAAAUAAAGAUGACGAACUCCCCAAUCUCUCCGCUUCAUCCAAGUCAUUAUAAUAUAUUCCUUACAAACCUUAGAACUUUGAAGACAUGUGGAGAUUCCCUCUUUCAUGGAGGAUGCAACCAAAUUCCAGUUACAUUACAUACUCAUCUUAACUGCAUAAGAUUCAACCGAACCAUCUUCAACUUCCCUCACACCGGCUUCCUAGGCAAAGAGACUGAUUCAGGUCUUACAUACUAAGAAACGCUCCAGCGUAGUUUGUUUUUCAAAUAAACCACGACUGGUAUCAAGACAACUUAAGACAUCUGGAUACGCUUAGAUAUACUGAAAGAAGCAGCAUCCGGUUUCAUGACAUGUCAUCAUCGUGAGGAAGAGCGGUUCCUUGAAUGCUCCGUUUCAGUGGAGUUCUGCUUGAUAUUUAUAACUGGAAUACACAUAGUAUGCUAACCCAGACGAGCUAUCCUCAUCAGUACACUGGAGAAUCACAAGAAAGACGCCAUGUCGCCAUCUGCUUCGUCAAGACUUUCCGGUUCAAGAUAGUCAAGAACCUUACUCGGAACGCUCUAAACGUUUAAGUACUAUAUAUUUUUUUUAAUGUUUUCGUUGUUACUAUGUGGAAACUGAAAAUGAGAUGUUAGAUUAGAUAGGAAAAUAUGUACUUUCAUUCAAUACAGUCAACACUAAAAAGAUUAAAAAGUUUAGUUAUUUCUUUAUUUUUA